UGAAAUGUAACAUAAAUAAGGUAUGUUGAAGAAAUGAUGAGAUUACUGUAUGUCCUAGAACAUCUAAUUAAUAUAGCUUACAUAAUAACCAGUCUUAAAGUAGUAUCCCAAAUUGACAAUAA